GUGGGUGUAGCUCAGUGGUAGAGCACAUGCUUAGCAUGCACAAGGUCCUGGGUACAAUCCCCAGUACCUUCA
rnacentral:tRNA from 1 species